rnacentral:rRNA from 1 species
UACGUAGGUGGCAAGCGUUGUCCGGAUUUACUGGGCGUAAAGAGCGCGCAGGCGGUCGUGCAAGUCGCGUGUGAAAGCCCCCGGCUCAACUGGGGAGGGUCACGCGAUACUGCUCGACUCGAAGGCAGGAGAGGGAAGUGGAAUUCCCGGUGUAGUGGUGAAAUGCGUAGAUAUCGGGAGGAACACCAGUGGCGAAGGCGGCUUUCUGGCCUGAUUCUGACGCUGAGGAGCGAAAGCCAGGGUAGCGAACGGG